UGAUCCUUGAUUGCUUGUUGAACAUGAACCAUGUCAAUUGCAUAGGAUGCCUUUUAUAUGUGUUUGAUGGCAUAUAAACUCGGAUUGUUUCAGUUUUAUGCAUGCCUUUUUGCUUCGUAGCUAUACUAUUGGCUUCAUGGAUGGAUUUAAAUCAUAGACAUGGCUGCGUUUGCAUUUGCGGUCAUGGUCAUGGGUAACAAAAACAAAUCUGUAACGUAAAAAAUUUAUAAAAUUCAUGAAAUGAAUUGAUAGUAAUGAUAUAAUUAAAACUAAGAUACAAUUAAAUAAUAAGCAUAAAUACAUAAAAUAACAACAUUAAAUCCAUCAUUCUUA
rnacentral:misc_RNA from 1 species